CCAAAGCCCAGAAAAACAGUCACCGUUGGCUUGGCUCCAAACUGCUUUUCCCGGUAAUAUUCCAGAUGAAAUUUUCCUUUGAUUGACAGCUGAUCCAUCUCCAGCUUUUGUCCUUUGCAUGCAUUUUCUUAUAAUUUCUCUCUUCUCCACAGAUACCAUUAGUAUAGAGAACUUCCUGGUGAAGAAACUCUCUUCAUUAACGCAAGUUGAGUCCUUCUCUACCAACUUCAUAUGGGUCAGUUCACCCUUCUUUUUGCAGUCUGCUAGCUUCCACUCCAGGGGACUCACCAAAUUGAUACCAGAAUUUAUGAAGACCCUUAUGAGACUUAGCCCUAAUGUGAUUCAAGUGGUUUGCCAACUUCUGUCUUCUCCUGGCAGCAGAGAUUACAGGUCUCAGUUCCAGCUAAAGAUCUUGAAAGGAAAUGAUGGCAGCAACUACACUGGGAGCUCACCCUGGCAUUGGGAAAGUUAAGUUGCUAAGCAGGAGGGCAACCAUAAAAGAUCCUUCAUUGAGUAGUAACAUGGUCAGAUCUGUGCUUUUGGAAAAUUAUUUAGGCAGUCAUGUGGACAACGGAUUGGAGAGAAGAAAUCCUGGAAGCAACAAAAAGCAUUUUUCUCCCCACUCCCUUAUUCCAUCAGUCCUCUUCACCCUUAGGAUAUUUUCCCUCCCUGCUCCCAAAGUAGAAACAGUUGAAGUGGUUAUUUAAACUCUAAUGAGACCAUUAUAAAGCAGCACUUUUUCAGCUUUUUGGUAUCCUGGACUCAUUUUAUAUUUACAUUUAUAUAUACUCAUUUUAUGGACUCUUGUGAAGCCUCUGGAUCCCUUCUCAGAAAAAUGUUCUUAAGUACAUAAAAUAAAACAAAACAAUAUUACA
rnacentral:lncRNA from 1 species